UUCAAUUCGGUAAGCAUUUAGAUCAGUUUUGAAGCUAUAUUGUAUAUAUUUAAAUCAUUCCUUGAUUUAUUUUUAAAUCUACUAUAUAUUGCAACAAUUUACUUGGAAAACUUAUUACUUUAUAAUUAAAAAAAUGAAACAACAUAUAUUACAAACAGAUGAUAAGGACAUAUAUCCAUGAAUUUUCACAAAGUAAAUACACCCAUGUAACCACUAACCAGAACAAGAAAGACAAUGCUACCAGAACCUGAAAGCUCCUUCAUGUCCUCUUCCAGUUGCUACUGUCCUGAACCAAAAAUCAACUUGAUGAAUCCUGUUAUAAAAUCCUGAAAAGGGAGUUCUCAGUGGAUCUGAUGUAGUGGAUGCUGUCCCAGGAAGUUUGUGCAUGCAUGGCACAAUCUUCCAAGAACACCCGUGGGAGGUCAUGCCUGAUCUCUACUUUUACAGAGAUCCUAAAGAGAUUGAAAAGGAAGAGAAGGCUGUUACCAAAGAGAAAUUUGAGCUCCUGAGUUUACUGCUGCGAAAACUAAGGUCACAGGCAGGUAUGAAGGCAUGUAUGUGAUAUCAAUAUCUGUGUACCAGUUUCCUACAGAAGACUGGAGCACUCAGCCUGCCACUGAAGACUGACCUGCAGCCCCUACAUCUCAGGCCACUGAAUGGAUGAAAAAAGUCCUCAAAUGGAAACACUUUGCUGAUGUGGAAGAGGUAAAAUAAAAAUGGCAGAAGCACCUGAAGGCAUCAAAAUCAAUUAGUUCAAAAACAGUUUCAAGCAAUGAUUAAAAACAUCUUGAUAGGUGUAUAGCAUCAAAUGGAGAGUACUUUGAAGGUGGUUUGAAAUGAUGCAGAAAGAUCCCCGACCUGCCAUGAGGAUACGUUUUUGGAUUAAGAACUGAAGCCUACCCAAGCUACAGACGUCUAUUUUCUUUUGCUGAGAUAUGGUACCCCUAAGGAGCCUCGUUUGGCAAGGGGAGGCAGGACUGUGUGUGUGUUUGUGGGUGUUUUAAAGGGACUUUGGGAUUUAACGGCAACAUUCUGCCAUUAAUCUAAACCUGUAUAACUUUAGACUAAACAGUUCCUUUCCUUUUUACCAAACUUUGACAUUGAGAGCCACAAUUCCUACCAGCCGUGGGCAAAGAAGAACCAUAGAACAAAAACACCCAGGUCGGGGAGGUGUUUCUAUAACAAGUAUAUGAGGAGAAGCUGAGGAGCUUGGUAGGGUUUUAUUUCUUGGGCAAAGUGGUGGUUACACUGUUCUAUUUUUCCCUUUGUGAAAAUUUAUCAAGUUAUACACUUUGCUGCAUUUAUGUAAUCUUUCAAAAAUAUUUAAAUGUUCAAUAUUUUUAUUGCAUUUUAAAAAAAUGAAUAUGCUUUUUGACUCAGCAAUCCUGACUCUGGAAAUAUGUAUAUGUCAAGGAACAUUAAUUCAAAAGAACAUAAGCACCCCUAUGUCCAUUUCAGUGUUAUUUACAAUCACCAAGAUAUGGAAGCAGCCUGAGUGUCCAUCAACAGAUGAGUGCAUAAAACAACUAUGGGACAUUUACACAAUGGAAACUACUCAGCCAUAAAAAAGAAGGAAAUUUCACCCUUUGUGACAGUGUGGAUGGACCUGGAGAAUAUUGUGCUAAGUGAAAUAAGCCAGUCAGAGAAAGACAAAUACCCUAUGAUUUCACUCAUAUGUGCAAUCUAAUGAACAAACUGAACUAACAAGCAAAACAGAA